AGCUAAGCCUUCACUACUUAUUAAAAGAUUUUUGGGGCGGGGGUUCUUCCCAGACAGUGAACAAACUAUUGCCUGAGAAUAAAGUCCUCACACAUUACUGCCAAGCCUCUGGCUCACCAACUAAUUAUUAAAUAGCUUUCUGGGAACUUGGAAACUGCUGUAUCUCAUCCAAAAGUUUCCUGAGAGUCAUCCCAAACUGGCAGCCAGUUUAUUCUCAAAACCUAAUUUGCUUACUCGGUGAGUGGUUGUGGCUCAAAAGAUGUAGGGAAAAUAGUCAAGUAGAAGAGGAAAUCUUCAAAAAGUUCAUGGAAAGAUGCAUAUCAUCUUUCAAUUGUAUUUUUCCAUGAACAUUCUGAAGUACCCUUGUAUUUCUGUGCAGUUUUAAAAAUCUUUUUGUCAUUACCAAUAAAGCAUGAUAUUAUUUGACCAGUGUUUUUCUUGGCUCUGCACCUUCUAAGGAUGCUAAUACGGAUGGAACAUUUUUUAAAGGCUUAGUGUGAGAGCAGUACAUUGCCACAGGGAGAAAGCAGCAAAGAAGAAAAUAUGAAGGCUCUGCCAACAAAUUAAUUCAGCAGCUAACAUUUUUCUCAAACUGGUUAAAAAAAAUACUACACACAAAGUGAUAAAUAUAUGUCCAAAAAA